CUUUACUGUAGUUUGGAAUUGACUUCGGGUUUAUUUUGCGCAGUAUAGGUGGGAGGCUAAGAGCUUACAUUUGCGGAUGUGAAGGAGCCAAUAGUGAGAUACCACUCUGAUUAAACUAGAAUUCUAAUCUUGAUGCCGUUAUCCGGCCAAGAGACAUUUUCAGAUGGGCAGUUUGACUGGGGCGGUCGCCUCCUAAAAAGUAACGGAGGCGUGCAAAGGUUUUCUCAGACUGGUCGGAAAUCAGUCGUAGAGUGUAAAGGCAUAAGAAAGCUUGACUGUGAGACUUACAAGUCGAACAGAGACGAAAGUCGGCCUUAGUGAUCCGACAGUUCUGAGUGGAAAGGCUGUCGCUCAACGGAUAAAAGUUA
rnacentral:rRNA from 1 species